AAAAACGUCAGUAAUUUCACAUGAGGGGAGAUUCGAAUUUUAUAAAAAUUAAGUUGUGCCGUGUAAAUCGCGUCGCAAAAUACUUUUUAGAAAAUCAAAGAAAUCAAGUGGGAAUCUUGAUUAAGUGAAUUGGUGUUUGGUCAGGAUAAAGAGUCGUUCUGACAUCUCAAUAGUACUGACGUGUAAAUCACAUCGCAAGACAACUGUCACUUUCAGGUACCACGUGAUUUACAUGUCGCUGAGUUGCGACGUGAUUUUCACGACGGUGGCUCUGAUAUAUAAUUUGCAACGCUCUUCCUCCAUGCACAAAACUACACUUCAUCUUCACUCUUCAUCUCAGUCUCAUUCUCCGCUCCUUUAUUUCUCUCUUCCAAUCUCAUACUUAAUCCUUCUCUCUUUCAACCUUAAAUCUUAAACUUCAAUUUUCUAUCCAUCAUCCAAUUAGUUAAAAGGUUAUUAAGAGAUUCAUUCAAGAAAUUGCAUCUCUAUAAAAUAUAUUGUGUUGCUUCAUUAAGGUAUUUUGGCAAUUACUUUAGGGAAUAUAUCAUUUGAAAGAGUUGCAGAAGGAUUGUCACGUCCACAACAAAUGACACUCGAGAUAAUGAAAACAGUGCAACAAUUGUCGCUAACUGAGACGAGACGCGAUGCACAGAAUGUGAGGUGGCGAUAAAUGCCAGAAUGAAGGAAAUGAAGAAGAGACAAAUUCAGAUGGAAGAAAUAAUACGAUAAUUUCUCUCAUAACAAGGAAAUCAAACAAAUAAUCCAAUGGACAGUGAUGUGGAGAAAGCUAUGAUUGAUGAUGUUGAUUGAUUUUUUUAUUAUUA